CCCUUAGAGUUUGAUCCUGGCUCAGAAUCAACGCUGGCGGCGUGCCUCAGACAUGCAAGUCGAACGCGAAAGCCUCCUUCGGGAGGCAAGUAGAGUGGCGCACGGGUGAGUAACACGUAGGUAAUCUACCUUUGGAUUGGGAAUAACCACCGGAAACGGUGGCUAAUACCGAAUAAUGCAGCGGCACCUAAUGGUGACAGUUGUUAAAGCGGGGGAUCGCAAGACCUCGCGUCUGAAGAGGAGCCUGCGGCAGAUUAGCUAGUUGGUAAGGUAACGGCUUACCAAGGCGAUGAUCUGUAGCCGGCCUGAGAGGGCGGUCGGCCACACUGACACUGACAUACGGGUCAGACUCCUACGGGAGGCAGCAGUCGGGAAUUUUGGGCAAUGGGCGAAAGCCUGACCCAGCAACGCCGCGUGAAGGAUGAAAUCCUUCGGGAUGUAAACUUCGCAAGAACGGGAAGAAUAAGUAAGGGUUAAUAUCUCUUACGAUGACGGUACUGUUUGUAAGCUCCGGCUAACUCCGUGCCAGCAGCCGCGGUAAUACGGGGGGAGCAAGCGUUGUUCGGAUUUACUGGGCGUAAAGGGCGCGUAGGCGGCCACCGCAAGUCGACUGUGAAAUCUCCGGGCUUAACCCGGAAAGGUCAGCCGAUACUGCGGGGCUAGAGUGCAGAAGGGGCAACUGGAAUUCUCGGGUGUAGCGGUGAAAUGCGUAGAUAUCGAGAGGAACACUUGCG
rnacentral:rRNA from 1 species